UCUUCUCUUAGGGCACGCUCUUAGUUGCUGUGGACUCUAGCCACGACCACGAGCUCUCCUUGUGGGACUGGCAGAAAAACGAGAUCCUUGGCAGAGCUGUUGCAAAUCCAGCUCCCGUUCUGGGCUGCCACUUCCCGCCGUCUGAGAACGAGCUGUUCCUGACGUUCGGCGUGCAGCAUCUGUGCUUCUGGAGGAAGGGAAAAGAGAACUACCUCGACCGUCUGGACGCCAUCACCGCUGAACAUGCGCCGAAGACAAUCACAGCCGUCGACUUCAUGGGCAGCGCAGGCUUCGUGACCGGCGACGAUGCGGGCUACGUCACCGUCUGGUCGGCCUCCAAGGAAGGCAGUUACUUCUUCAUCAGCAAGGAAUUCAGGGCGCACGAGAACGACGUGAACGUCCUCCUGUUUCUGCCGCACAAUCUGUUAAUAUCAGCGUCGGCUGUAGACAGAGAAGAUCAGAUCAAGGCGUGGGAUGCCGACAAAAA